AAAGAAUUAGUUAAAUAUUAUAACAUUAGAAUGUCAAACUAAAAUUAUUAAUUUAUUAAUAUUCUUUA
rnacentral:tRNA from 1 species